rnacentral:rRNA from 1 species
GUUGUGAGGUUAAGCGACCAAGCGUACACGGUGGAUGCCCUGGCAGUCAGAGGCGAUGAAGGACGUGCUAAUCUGCGAAAAGCGCCGGUAAGGUGAUAUGAACCGUUAUAACCGGCGAUGUCCGAAUGGGGAAACCCAGUGUGACUCGUCACACUAUCAUUAACUGAAUCCAUAGGUUAAUGAGGCGAACCGGGGGAACUGAAACAUCUAAGUACCCCGAGGAAAAGAAAUCAACCGAGAUUCCCCCAGUAGCGGCGAGCGAACGGGGAGGAGCCCAGAGCCUGAAUCAGCAUGUGUGUUAGUGGAAGCGUCUGGAAAGGCGCGCGACACAGGGUGACAGCCCCGUACACAAAAGCGCAUGUGCUGUGAGCUCGAUGAGUAGGGCGGGACACGUGGUAUCCUGUCUGAAUAUGGGGGGACCAUCCUCCAAGGCUAAAUACUCCUGACUGACCGAUAGUGAACCAGUACCGUGAGGGAAAGGCGAAAAGAACCCCGGCGAGGGGAGUGAAACAGAACCUGAAACCGUGUACGUACAAGCAGUGGGAGCAUGAGUUUACUCAUGUGACUGCGUACCUUUUGUAUAAUGGGUCAGCGACUUAUAUUCUGUAGCAAGGUUAACCGAAUAGGGGAGCCGUAGGGAAACCGAGUCUUAAC